rnacentral:rRNA from 1 species
AUGAUUCUGUCACAAGAAGAACUUCUCCAAAAAUGUGGAGUGACUGGGCAUUCGAAAAGCAGGCAGCAAGACUAUAUAACAGAGGUAUUUUUUUACAAAUUUCAGCAAGAGUUGAUGAAUUCAACUAAGUUUCACAUGGUUGAAGUUGAAAGAAACAAACAAUAUGAGGUGUUCAAGUCACCAAUGCAGGCACUAUUUGACCAUAACCCCAGAACUUUCAUAGUCAUGGUGGACAUAGACUCUGAAACUUUCACAUGCAUAUGUGGUAAAUUUGAAAAAGACGGCAUACUAUGCUAUCAUGCACUCAAAGUGAUCCAAGCAUUAAACAUUGACGAGAUAGCAGAGAAGUAUUUCAUUGAUAGAUUGAGACCUGAAGAGAAGAAAUCAGAACAAGUCAGUGAACAAGUGACAAACCUUGAAGAUUUGGAUGAUCAAAUGGCUUUCUUCUCAUUCUCUAGAAGGCUCACUGAGUUAGCUUCUGAAGCAUAA